UACUGUCUCUCAGCCUAACAGUUCCCUCUUCCCUGCCUCCUCGGGUCCAUGUGGCGUCCCUGCUGCUUCCAUGUCUGAGGCGUCUGGGGGAGUUGCAAGGGAGACUGGGCCUUUCCCUGGUGAGGAGAGAGGUCAGCUGCACAAUGCUUUUAGUGGAAAGGGUAAGACACACACACGCACGCGCACACACAAGCUGGCAGCUACAUUGGUACUCAGUUCAUUUUCUUUUGACAGCUAAUGUGUUGGGGCAGCAGGAAGUGGAAGAAGAGCCACAGCAGAAGAUUGAUGUUGUCUACGAGGAAAAUGUUGAAAAUUGGGAUAACAUCGUGGGGGGCUUGGGACCGGCUACUGGACUGAGAAGCAGCACCUUCCUUCAGUUUACUUCCAUGCAGUGCAGUUGCUGUGCAUGGGAAACUGACUCCGCUAAUCAUUUUUGCCUCAUGAUGAAAACCUGCAUCCCUCGUAGCAGCACACUUCCUCCGGCCCACGUACAGCCGACGGUCUGCUGCACAGAGCCCAGCAGGGAGGUACCGUUGACAGAGUACCAAGCCAGGUACACUGCUGAGUGGGCCCAGCCUAAAAUGCAGCAGAGAGACAUUCACCAUCGUGAUUGA
rnacentral:lncRNA from 1 species